AACAAACGCUGGCGGCGUGCCUAACACAUGCAAGUCGUACGAGAAAGUCCGCUUCGGUGGAUGAGUAAAGUGGCGCACGGGUGAGUAACGCGUGGAUAAUCUACCCUUUAGUCUGGAAUAACUUAUCGAAAGGUGAACUAAUACCGGAUAAUAUCCCGAUUUCUUCGGCGAUCGGGAUCAAAGAAGGCCUCUGCUUGCAAGCUUUCACUGAAGGAUGAGUCCGCGUACCAUUAGCUAGUUGGCAGGGUAAUGGCCUACCAAGGUUAUGAUGGUUAGCUGGUCUGAGAGGAUGAUCAGCCACACUGGAACUGAAACACGGUCCAGACUCCUACUGGAGGCAGCAGUGAGGAAUAUUGCGCAAUGGGGGCAACCCUGACGCAGCAACGCCGCGUGAGUGAGGAAGGUUUUCGGAUUGUAAAGCUCUGUCGAGCGGAAAGAAGUGCAUGGUGGUUAAUAUCCAUCAUGCUUGACGGUACCGCUAAAGGAAGCACCGGCUAACUCCGUG
rnacentral:rRNA from 1 species